rnacentral:ncRNA from 1 species
AAAAAAACAAUAACAAGGACAAGACAGAUAAUAAAAUAUCUUUGCAGAGAAUCAAACAAUUGGUGAAAGUUUGAAAGUAAAAAUUAUUUGUUAUCACCUAAGUUAAGUUGUAAAGCUGAACAAUUUAAAGUAAGCUUUGCCGUAUAUCUGCGUUAAAGAAAAAUAAGAGAAUAUAAAUUAUAUUAUAUUAAAAUAGGUGGUACCGCGGAGAAUUCGUCCUAAUA